CUGGCUCCACAGCACAGAAUGAAGUAUUUUGCUACAGAUUAGUGAUUAUUUCUCAAGCAAGCCACAAAUGAGGACACAUUCCUGAAUGUAACUCUCCCAGUGACCACAGAAAGCUAUGAGAUCCCAACACUGAGCACUUUUUUUGGUGGAUGGAAUGUGCACUAAAUUUAGAAUCCAUGGCAAAAGCUGUCAAGAACCCUGAAGCCAACUGACUAAAGGUGCAAGUAUGUGUUUGCUUGCUUUCUACCAUCAGUCCUUCCUCCUUUCAGCUCAGCCUGCCAUUCUGGUAGCAAAGUCUGCAGGAGCUCAUGAAGAGGUCCAACGUGAUCAGGUGAAAAGACAGACCAAGCUGGUACAACAUGCUAAUAAAUUCCUUCUCUGAGGGAUCACUGAUGAGGCUGCCUGGAGGAUGAAAGAAAUGUUUUAAACUGAAAGAAGAGCCCCUCUUGCAGAGUGGACUUUGCCAGGUUAUAUAACCUUCCUCAGAAGAGGCUGAAGGAGGGAUGAAGAGGCCCUGAAGCCUCUGGGGGAAGGAGUAAGCAAGGCCUUUGGAAAAUGCAGGACCCUGGGAGAAAUCACCCCAGUAUGGGCUUUAUAGUCUCCUGCACCCAGUGAUGGCCAAGCUCACAAUUUCUCACCAGAAGAGUGAAGUGGGUCCAAAGAGUUGUAAUAGGACCAGAGCACUGCCUCACCAAAGCACUCAUGGAAUUCUUGCCCCAACCCAGGUGUCAUGGGGUUCUCCUGGGUCUGUGGACAGGCUGCAGGCAACCUGCUCUAUGGGGAUAUUAACACACUCUUUGCAUACAUUUAAAGGAACUUGUGUGCCUUGCUGGUGUCUGUCCAAGACUUCCUGUCAACUACAGCACCUGGUCAUCACCAGAGUCUGGAAACUCUAUCACAGAGCAAUUACAAAUCACAGCAGAAUAGUGUCAGAGAGUGACAUGAUUUUACCAGCAGGCUGUCCUCAGCCAGAACUUAAUUACCCUGGCCUUCAGAUGGGUCUCUUCAUAUCCCUGGGUUCCUCAUUUGGAAAAUAAAAAAGCCUGUUGGGAGAAGCACAGGAGGAUGCCAGUCCCAUGCAGAUGACAGCUCAAGAGUCCUUCUAUCCUUACACUGGCAGACAAAGGCCUUUACCAUAGUUUCUCUGAGGGAGCCUGAGCACCUUUAGGAGCCUGAUCCAGG
ensembl:lncRNA